GAUGAACGCUGGCGGCGUGCCUAAUACAUGCAAGUCGAGCGAACAGACGAGGAGCUUGCUCCUUUGACGUUAGCGGCGGACGGGUGAGUAACACGUAGGUAACCUACCUAUAAGACUGUGAUAACUUCGGGAAACCGGAGCUAAUACCGGAUAAUAUUUCGAACCGCAUGGUUCGAUAGUGAAAGAUGGCUUUUCUAUCACUUAUAGAUGGACCGGCGCCGUAUUAGCUAGUUGGUAAGGUAACGGCUUACCAAGGCAACGAUACGUAGCCGACCUGAGAGGGGGAUCGGCCACACUGGAACUGAGACACGGUCCAGACUCCUACGGGAGGCAGCAGUAGGGAAUCUUCCGCAAUGGGCGAAAGACUGACGGAGCAACGCCGCGUGAGUGAUGAAGGUCUUCGGAUCGUAAAACUCUGUUAUUAGGGAAGAACAAACGUGUAAGUAACUGUGCACGUCUUGACGGUACCUAAUCAGAAAGCCACGGCUAACUACGUG
rnacentral:rRNA from 1 species